CAGAUGUUCAGAUGGGUCCGGAGUUUCUUCCUUCUGGUGGGUUCGUGGCUGACAUCAGGAGUGAAGCUGCAUCCCUUUGUGCUAGACACAAAAGUUCUCCAAGUCCCCACCCAUCCCAGAAGCCCAGCAGGCUUCACCUUUCACUGGCACUGGCUUGACUUUGCGGCACCUAUCCUGGACACUCCGGCAACCCAGAAGGAGCUCGUCCCAGACAACCAAGAGGAAAAGGGGAAGCCAGAAAGAGACAGAGACCCGCCAUCGUUGCCAACAACUCGGUGAAGAGGGAAUGGCGAUCCAAGCAGGGGACCCAGCCUCUGAUCAAGCCCAGCAGGCACCAGCCUGCUGCCCGGAGUGCGGGGCCCUCCGAGCCCGUGCCCACCCAGAACCCAUGCCGGACUGCAAGCACCGCGCAGCCCCAGCUCUCGUCUGCGCCUCUCCCUCCACACCUCCCUGGAGCAGAGGGAGCCGGCUCCAGCCUCCGCCAGCCCCAGAAAGGGGACCCCACAGCGCAGUGGUGGGCUGAAGGGCUCUUCAAGCACGGCCAGAGCGGACGCCGAGGCCGAGGAGGCCCCGAGAGCUAGCAAGGGCUGCUAGCACAUUGUCACCUCUCAGAAGUCCAAUUCUCUUACCAUCUGCUUAGAGUUUUUCACUUCUUUGUGGCCCUGGGAACUCUUUUUCAUAUAUGAGUUCUGGAAUAUUUCUGGUGAUAAUCUUGACAUUGUACAUUUGGUUUUGGUUUAUUGUGGAGGGAGUGAAGUCAGCAUGCUUCUAUGCUGCCAUUUUGGAACUGGAAGUCCUCCUGACCCACAGAAACAGAAAUAAUAAAUGUGUAUUCCUUCAGGCUA